UACAGAGGUCCCAAGCGUUGUUCGGAUUCACUGGGCGUAAAGGGCUUGUAGGUGGCCAACUAAGUCAGACGUGAAAUCCCUCGGCUUAACCGGGGAACUGCGUCUGAUACUGGAUGGCUUGAGUUUGGGAGAGGGAUGCGGAAUUCCAGGUGUAGCGGUGAAAUGCGUAGAUAUCUGGAGGAGCACCGGUGGCGAAGGCGGCAUCCUGGACCAAGACUGACACUGAAAAGCGAAAGCCAGGGGAGCAAACGGG
rnacentral:rRNA from 1 species